GACGAACGCUGGCGGCGUGCUUAACACAUGCAAGUCGAACGGAAAGGCCCUGCUUUUGUGGGGUGCUCGAGUGGCGAACGGGUGAGUAACACGUGAGUAACCUGCCUUUGACUUUGGGAUAACUUCAGGCAACUGGGGCUAAUACCGGAUAGGUGCUCCUGCUGCAUGGUGGGGGUUGGACCGUUCCGGCGGUGGGGGAUGGACUCGGGGCUUAUUAGCUUGUUGGUGGGGUAGUGGCUUACCAAGGCUUUGAUGGGUAGCCGGCCUGGGAGGGUGACCGGCCACAUUGGGACUGAGAUACGGCCCAGAGUCCUACUGGAGGCAGCAGUGGGGAAUAUUGCACAAUGGGCGGAGGCCUGAUGCAGCAACGCCGCGUGCGGGAUGACGGCCUUCGGGUUGGAAACCGCUUUCGCCUAUGACGAAGCGUGAGUGACGGUAAUGGGUAAAGAAGCACCGGCUAACUACGUG
rnacentral:rRNA from 1 species